rnacentral:rRNA from 1 species
UCCUACGGGGGGCAGCAGUAGGGAAUCUUCCACAAUGGACGAAAGUCUGAUGGAGCAACGCCGCGUGAGUGAAGAAGGGUUUCGGCUCGUAAAGCUCUGUUGGUAGUGAAGAAAGAUAGAGGGAGUAACUGGCCUUUAUUUUACGGUAAUUACUUAGAAAGUCACGGCUAACUACGUGCCAGCCGCCGCGGGAAUACGUAGGUGGCAAGCGUUGUCCGGGUUUAUUGGGCGUAAAGCGAGUGCAGGCGGGUCAAUAA